CCUACGGGCUGCACCAGUCGGGAAUUUUGCGCAAUGGGCGAAAGCCUGACGCAGCAACGCCGCGUGAGGGAUGAAGGCCUUCGGGUUGUAAACCUCUUUUCUCAGGGACGAUGAUGACGGUACCUGAGGAAUAAGCCACGGCUAACUACGUGCCAGCAGCCGCGGUAAUACGUAGGUGGCAAGCGUUGUCCGGAUUUACUGGGCGUAAAGAGCGCGCAGGCGGUCGUUCAAGUCGAGUGUGAAAGCCCCCGGCUCAACUGGGGGGGGUCACUCGAUACUGAUCGACUCGAAGGCAGGAGAGGGAAGUGAAAUUCCCGGUGUAGUGGUGAAAUGCGUAGAUAUCGGGAGGAACACCAGUGGCGAAGGCGACUUCCUGGCCUGUUCUUGACGCUGAGGCGCGAAAGCUAGGGGAGCAAACGGGAUUAGAUACCCGGGUAGUC
rnacentral:rRNA from 1 species